ACAAUAAAUCACAAUGCGGAACUUCUGUUUUGCAAUUGGAUUGAGAACAACGCACAACACUUAUCGAUAAACAAUUGGAGGGCAAGUCUGGUGCCAGCAGCCGCGGUAAUUCCAGCUCCAAUAGCGUAUAUUAACGUUGUUGCAGUUAAAAAGCUCGUAGUUGAAGUGAAGUGUGAAUCUCUUGGAUUUUCGUUUGAAUUUCCUUUAGCUUCAUACUCUUUCCAAAUAGUUUGCAUGGGUAUUUACUUAUCUGUGUAUUGCAUUUGGUCAUUUACUGUGAGAAAAUUAGAGUGUUCAAAGCAUACGUUUGUUUGAAUACAUUAGCAUGGAAUAAUUCGAAAAGGCUUUCAUGUUCGAUUUGAUUGGUUUGUUCGUGAAGGCAAGAUUAAAAGGGACAGUUGGGGGUAUUCAUAUUCAAUAGUCAGAGGUGAAAUUCUCGGAUUUAUGGAAGAUGAACAA
rnacentral:rRNA from 1 species